rnacentral:lncRNA from 1 species
CACAAAAAAUUUGAGAUAUAUCAGUUUUUAAUCGUUUUGCAAGCACUCAUUUGUCAUCAUCUUUUAUCCCCACAAUCACAUCUACCAUUCAAGAUUCUUCAUUGUGGGAUAUUUAUACUGAAUUAUGAACUAUAAUUUGACAAAAAAAUAUUAAAAAUAAAAUAAAAACAUAGGAAGAUAAACUAUAAAAUUUACAUAUUUUUUUUCUUUCUAAAUUAUGUAUUUUGAUAAUGCGGAUGUAUUCAAUAUGCUGUUCAUUCAAUAUUUUGUUACAAAAUUUU